ACACUUUGUGAGAGAAGUGAGCAUUGUGAGUUUGAGUUGGGUUGAAAGUGUUUUGAGGAGAUAUUCCAGCACAAUUACUCGUUUGUCAAUCCAAAAUAGUUCAAAAUGUGUUUGUCUCAUACAAUUGACAGAAAAGUCUUCUCUGCCGGCCAGUGAGGUUCUGAAUUGAAGGAAGUCUUCGCUAGCAAUUGAUUGGCAUGAACACAUGGUCAACUAUUUCGGAUUUGCCGACUUAAGGGACAACAGAGUCGUUGUGCUAAGAUUAUCUCCGCGAAACACUUUUUGUCGCUGGUAAUUGGUAUCUAUCAUUUUCAAAUUUGGAAACUAGAAACUGGAUGUAUGAUACUAGACCUUUUCUAAGAGCCACUUCAAAGAAUAAAAUUGUCUUUUCUUUUC